UCCCUCUCAGGAUCACACCUGGAGAGUUUUCAGUACUCUACCAGUCUCGGCUAUGGAAGGGAGAGACAGGCAGAAGUAUACCCAUUCCAUUCCUAGCUUGGACAGUGGCUAGCAAGUGAAAAGCAAUCUGCUACAAGU